UUCUUGUGAUACUAGUCCCCGCCCAAUGCGGUAGCUCGCAAUGUUUCAGAAUCUACGAUUGGACGGCCCGACUGUCAAUCAUAAACGGCCAAUAAAUGAGGGAAGUUUGCUCUGUCUCAACCACCACAUGGGGUCCUGUUCCCUGUCUGUCCUGCCUGCCCUGGUACUCUUCACCUAACACAACACGGAGACCUUGUUGGGGCUCACCGCCUGAAAGAUAGGGUUAUGCAAGCUACUGGUGCACACCAGACACUAUCCCAAACAUCUGGACAACACCCCUUGGAUCUAGUUCUUUUAAAAUUAAAUGAACGUCUUCUUUCCUGACGUGUAAUCCAU